rnacentral:misc_RNA from 1 species
AGAGAGAGAGAGAGAGAGAGACAACGGUAAUGGGAGGGCUGUUAUGCAGCCCUCAAUGCAUCCAAUGAACUAAGACCCUAUCUAGGCUGACUAGAAUGAUAAAAACAUGGGCAGCCUAGCUAUUACAAAUUCAUGGUGCACAUUUGAUUCAAAAAUUACAAGAUCUAGAAACAUAAUAAGAAUAAAGUUGAGAGGCCAAACCAAUUGGCACCCAUUAAGCUUAGUUGCCCCUCCAUUCCCACCAAAAUAGAAACCACAAAAAAAAAAA